CAAAUCUUCCCUGGUUGUCCAUGGCCAGGAGCAGCAUCACAGCAGGCACAGUGUGCUCCAACCCUUGGUAGCUGCUGGCCCAUCCAUGGGCUCCCCGACUUCUGUUGGUUGUCAGAGGAUCCCAGUGAACCUCAUUCACACCAGCUACCAUCCCCCGUUCCAACUCCUCCAGGCUGUCCCAUCCAUCUGAGAUCAAGGUGACGUCCCUGUCCCUCAACUUGGAUCACACUGGGUAUGAUUUGGUGGUGGGACCAAACAGAGGACACAGUGCUCUUUCUCCAGAAGCGAUGCUCAGCAUGGUGCACUCAUCAUCCAUGCCCGAGCCCUUGACCCUCAUGCACCUUCCUGCUUCUCAUUAGUUGUGCGUAAAACAUUAAUUUUGUACAAAAGAGAGAAGGAAAGAAGAUCCCAUUUAUUCGGCCAGCCCUUCUCUGUUCUCAUUGCCCCUUAGAGCAAUCAGAAAUGUCCAACAGGACCCAACCAUGAGUGCUGAAACUAAAACCCAUCUGCAGAUCACCAAAGGUGGACAACCACUUCCCCCUUGGCAUUUUUAGGCCAUCACAUCACACCAUCCGCAGGAAUAGCCAGCUAUUCCUUCCAGCUAAUGGCCAGCUAUAGCCAGCCUUCACAACCAGGGUGAUAUUUCUGUAGAAAAUAACUCUAAAUACAAUAAAACACAAAAUGAGAAUGAGAGCUGCUGUGGGCUUACUUGGAGGGCAUUUCUGUUUCUCUCCGCAUCUUUCCAGCCAAAUUUCUUCUUCUUCCACACAUCCAUCCUUCUAGGAAAGCUGUUCUUUUAGGGAUGAUCAUUGACUUUAGAGCUGUACACGAAUAAGACUCCAUGGAAGAAACCCAGUGUCCUGUUGCAGGAAUGUGGACCCAUGUGCAGAGGGGUAACUGCAGACAGGCAGAUGUCCUUCUGAGCACCCAAGGACAGGAGCCUCUGUAGCACAGGGGUUUCAGGAGAUCACUCAGAGCCAGUAUUGCAAGUCUGGAGUAUGUGUGAAAAUGGGAGAGAUUGCAGACAGCAAGUGGCAGACGAGCUGCAGCCUCCGUCCUGCCCAUUGCUGUGGGUCUGCAGGAUGGGGCUGUCCUCAGCAGCAUGUCUUCUGGAGUUGUGCCUACUGGAAAAUGCAAGCUCCCCGUGCUGGGACUCUCCUCCUUUUCUUGGUGAGCUGUUAGAAAGCACAUCUUCCUUGCCAGUUCUCUAUUAAUCAUAUUACUCCCCGCUUUCUCAUCUGUGCGACCCCUGCAUCACUUAUUUCUUGUUGGCAAUGCUUGUGUAGUUUCCAGGCACUAAAUAGAAAAGAGUGCUCUUUUAAAAAUCUUAAUUUAUUUCUAGUCUGGGCAAGAAUCACAGAGGCUGGAAAAGAGCUCUAAGAUGCCCAACCCAACCCAUCCCCACCAUGCCCUCUUACCAUGUUCCCAAGUGCC
ensembl:lncRNA